CUCAACCUGUCCAGAUACUGUAGUAUUAUGUCAAUGCAUAAGUAAGUUGAUCUCAUCAAUGCGGGGUCUUUCUUGGUAGGGUGCCGUCACAACAAUCCUGUUCAUAACUUCAGAUAGAAAGAUCUAGAAAGACCAUUCACAACGUAAAGCUUUUGAAAACAAACCGACAACGGUGUACCACCGCUUCAGCUGCGCAGGCCAGGAGUAACAAUGAGGACUUAACCAUAAACCAAAGACAAAGCGUCUGAUUGAACAGGUGUCUCCAGAGCCAAAUCUGUGUCCCAAAUGGCACCCUAUUCCCUAAAUAGUGCACUACUUUAGACCAGAGCCCUAUGGCGCCCUAUUCAGUAUAUAGUGCACUACUUUCUAAAAGUAGAACACUAUAUUAGGGAAUAGGGCACCAUUUGGGACACAGAACCUCUGUUGAUCUUGGCUUAAAACACACAAGACAAGCAUCUCCUCAACGAUAAGCCAACAAGUGACGCCCCCUUACCCCAUAGGCAGAGGGGAGGGAGAGACAGAGAGAGAGAGAGCAGAGAGAGAGAGGUUGAUUCCUGACACUGUUCCUGAGCAUGGUGGUUUGACUGACUAGGGGAGGUAGGAAGUAUACAGGAAAUGCUGAAGACAGGAGGAACCACAGCACAUGACCGAAAGGUGGAGAGAAGAGGUGGAGGAAAGGAGUCCAGAGUCUGAUCUAGAGAGAAAGAGAGAGAGAGAAAGAGAGAAGAGAGAGAGACGAG
ensembl:lncRNA